CGCCCAGUUGGAGCUUCUGGGCUGCUUUGUUUACCUAAGCAAGCCUCAGCAAUGGCGGGCGCCCCUCCCCCAGCCUCGCUGCCGCCUUGCAGUUUGAUCUCAGACCGCUGUGCUAGCAAUCAGCGAGACUCCAUGGGGUAGGACCCUCCAAGCCAGGUGUGGGAUAUAAUCUCAUGGUGCAUAAAGCGCAGUAUUCGGGUGGGAGUGACCCGAUUUUCCAGGUGCCGUCCGUCACCCCUUUCUUUGACUCGGAAAGGGAACUCCCUGACCCCUUGCGCUUCCCGUGUGAGGCAAUGCCUCGCCCUGCUUCGGCUCGCGCACGGUGCGCGCACCCACUGACCUGCGCCCACUGUCUGGCACUCCCUAGUGAGAUGAACCCGGUACCUCAGAUGGAAAUGCAGAAAUCACCCGUCUUCUGCGUCGCUCACGCUGGGAGCUGUAGACCGGAGCUGUUCCUAUUCGGCCAUCUUGGCUCCUCCCCCCGAGAUUGAUAAAUCCAAGAAAAUAGAGAAGAUCAAAAGAAGAUACAUAGCUGAAAACACUUGAAGGUAUAGACUACCUUGAAAGUCACGCAAGAACUGUUCUUCCUGCUUUCCAUAUCCAAGAUGCAGAAGUCAAGGCACAGGGAUGUGAACAUACGUGGGUCAUGUUUCAUAGUACCUGGACCAAGAGAAGAGGUCUCUCUAUGUUGAGAAAAUGGCAAUGCCUUCCCACAGCAUGGUACUUCUUCUCCUUCUGAGAAUGAUACUGUUACAUAAAGGUUUUCGGCGGUGCCCCAGAACACGGAGAUUUCCUUCUGCCCAGCUGCAUGAGGCACACAUAUCCUGGGAUGGCAUUAGGAAGAUGGCCACUUUCACAUCAACUUAUGUACUCUGGCACCAACCUCUCUUCUCCCUACCCAGCCCAACUUCCCACCCACUGCUAUUGGGAUGAUAUGUGCUCUUGGGUAAGGAAUGCAUAUCCAAAUGCUACCUCAGAUCAGGGAGGUAAUACCUGGCCUCAAUUCUCUGCCCUUAAAGAAUCUUGCAGCCAAAUUGGGUAAAGAGUCAAGACCCAUCGGUGUGCUUUAUUCAGGAGACCCAUCUCACGUGCAAAGACACACAUGGGCCCAAAAUAAAGGGAUGGAGUAAUAUUUACCAAGGAAAUGGAAAGCACACACACACAAAAAAAAGCAGAGGUUGCAAUCCUAGCCUCUGAUAAAACAGACUUUAAACCAACAAAGAUCAAAAAAGACAAAGAAGGGCAUUACAUACUGGUAAAGGGAUCAAUGCAACAAGAAGAGCUAACUCUCCUAAAUAUAUAUGCACCCAAUACAGGAGCACCCACAUUCAUAAAGCAAGUUCUUAGAGACCUACAAAGAGACUUAGACUCCCACACAAUAAUAGUGGGAGACUUUUAACACCUCACUGUCAAUAUUAGGCAGAUCAACAAGACAGAAAAUUAACCAGGAUAUUCAGGAUGUGAACUAAGCUCUGGACCAAGAGGACCUAAUAGACAUCUGUGGAACUCUCCACCCCAAAUCAAUAGAAUGUACAUUCUUCUCAGCACCACAUCGCACUUAUUCUAAAAUUGACCACAUAAUUGGAAAUAAAACACUCCUCAGCAAAUGCAAAAGAAUGGAAAUCAUUACAGUCUCUCAGAUCACAGUGCAAUCAAGUUAGAACUCAGGAUUAAGAAACUCAGUCAGAACCGGACAACGACAUGGAAACUGACAACCUGCUCCUGAAUGACUACUGGGUAAAUAACAAAAUUAAGGAAGAAAUAAAUAAGUUCUUUGAAACCAAUGAGAACAAAGACACAAUGUACUAGAGUCUCUGGGACACAGCUAAAGCAGUGUUUAGAGGGAAAUUUAUAGCACCAAAUGCCCACAGGAGAAAGCAGGAAAGAUCUAAAAUCGACACCGUAAUAUCACAAUUAAAAGAACUAGAGAAGCAAGAGCAAACAAAUUCAAAAGCUAGCAGAAGGCAAGAAAUGACUAAGAUCAGAGCAGAACUGAAGGAGACAGAGACACAUGGACACAGGAGAAUGAGAACACAUGGACACAGGGAGGGUAACAUCACAAACUGGGGCCUGUCAGGGGUGGGGAGUGGUGGGGAGGGAUAGCAUUAGGAGAAAGAUCUAAUGUAGAUGAAAGUUUGAUGGGUGCAGCAAACCACCAUGGCAUGUGCAUACCUAUGUAACAAACCUGCACAUUCUGCACGUGUAUCCCAGAACUUAAAGUAUAAUAUAAUAAAAGAAUCUCAUAGCCAUCAUCUGUUGUAUACAACAGACCUCAAAUUAGUCUCCCUCUGCUUCUCCAACAGUGUGGCCUCUUCUAUGAAGCUGUCUACCCAUGGGUUUCCCCAACAUCCCAUCCCCCAGCCCUCAGGUUUCUCCUCCCCAUCAUCUUCACUUCAGAAAGAGAAAUGAAAAAGAAAUUCAAGUGACUCAUCGGUCCACAUAGGCAGGAGUGGGAGAGGCUGAGAGAGUGAAUUUGUGGGUCCAGAUGAAUAUUUCCGCAGGCCUCUUGACUGCUUCACACGAUCUGCUGUGCUUCAUGAAAAAGAGGAUAUAAAAAUCUGAGUGGUGCCAUAUUGUCUCCAAAAGCAGCCAGAGUGAAAAUGAAGUGUGACUGCUGCCUCCCAAAACGCAGGGCAGCUCCUCCCUCACAUCCACAAAUGUGGUUCAGCGGGCUGCCUUGCCCUGUUUCAGGAAGCCUACGUGGAGGGCACUGUGGAGCCCCAGCCACCUUCUUCACACAGGGCUAUCUGGGGCUUCAGUGCCAGGUCCCCUGGAUACACAGCAGAGUCUGCUGGGGGCACUGACCAGGAUGCCAAUGCAGGGGUGCUUUCUCGGAGGCUCAUCCCACCAGCAGUGCCAGGUUUGACAAGCCCCACAAAUCUAUGCUCUUUGGCCGCCUUGAGAACUUUCCAACCAGGGAUUCUUACUGAGCAGAGUGUGCAUGGCGAGGAAGAGUCAGAGUGGGGGGGGCCUUGCCCCUCCCUCAACCAGAGGGACUCUACUUUAAUGUACCUUACAUACUGGGCACUUUCCUAAGAUUUCACUGGAAAAAAUCGGAGCAAACAAAAAUGGAAACAACCUGGAAAGCCCCCAUGGGUCUAGCCCAGUGGUUCUCGAACUUGAGUGUGCCUCAGAAUCUUCUGGAGGGCUAGAUAUAAAACACAGAUGGCUGCGCCUCUCCCCAGACUUGCUGAUUCAUUAUUGCUGAUAUUUCAUUUUUAUGUUUUUGUUUUUUUGAGAUAGGUUCUCACUCUGUUGCCUAGGCUGGAGUAUAGUGACCCAAUCACUGCUCACUGCAGCAUUGACCUCCUGGGCUCAAGCAAUCCUCACACCUGAGCCUCCCAAGAGGCUGGGACUACAGGUAUGUGCCACCACACCUGGCUAAUUUUUCUCUCUUUUGUAGAGACAAGGUCUUGCUAUGCUGCCUAUGUCUCUAACUCCUAAACUCAAGCCCACCUCAGCCUCCUAAAGUGCUGGGAUUACAAGCAUGAGCUACCACACCCAGCCUAAUAUUCUAUACUUUUAAUAGGCUGUCAUGGGAUUACAAUGUUGCUUUCUUGGGACCAACAUUAAGAACCACUACUCUGGCCCAGCUUCCCUUUUAGAUGCCAGGACAGGUGACUCUUCCAAGGUGCCUCAGCAACUUAGAGGCAAACUGGAAUAGAGCCCACUCGCUGACAGCCCCUCCCCCUAUUUUCUAUCCCACCCCCACUUCAUCCAGGGCUUUUCUAUCACACCUGCUCCAGCACAGCAGGGCCCUGGAUAGAGAAAACUGCUCCAAGCUGGGCUUUGUCCCAUGAGGAAAGGGGCACCCUAAAGCAGAGCCCUCGCUCAGCCCAGCCGUGUCCCCCAUUUUGGGAAGUGGCACCCUACCCCCAGGUUUUCAGGAUGCCCCUCAAACUUGACUUAUCCAUGCUUUCAUUCCUUAUUGAGCCUUCUGUGAUUUCUUUCCUUUAUUCUUUCACCGAACACAUCCUUACUGAGACCUUCUAGGUGCUGGGUGCUGUUCUAGAUCCUGAGAAAGAUAUAGAGACCUGUGGGAGACAGGCUCCUCCCUGCCUUCAAGAACUUUGCAGUUGGGUAGGAAAAUAAGCCUAAUCAAGUUACUACACUGUAAAGGGGAAAGAAGGGAGUGUCUCAAAAGGUGUGUGAAGGAUGAGGAAUGGGGAGGGGCUCAUUAGUCUGGCAGGGAGCUGUUAACAGAGACAGGCAUGGGCAUCGGAUGAAGAGGACAUAGUCAGUGUAAGAAAUUAAUGAUUAAAUCAUGAGAAAUAUUUAUUGAGUAUUCACUGUUCACCAAUUGCUUUACAUCUUUUAUCUUCACAACCUUCCCUAUAGGAGGCGCCAUUAUUAAAUUCUUGUUUACAGAUGAGGAAACUGAAGCUCAGAGAAGCCAUGCAACUUGUCCAAAGCCACACAGCUACUCAAACUCAGGCUUUCUGGACCCAGAACCUGAUCUCUUAACUACUACUCUACCAUCUACGACUACUGUACCAUCUCUUACUACUGUACUAUCUUAAUUGCUGUCAGCAAGGGACAGACAGCUAGCACCUAUUUGGAGGGCAGUGAAGAGCAGGUUUCCUGAAGCAUUCCACAAGUGUCAGGGGGUAGUUGGAAUACAGUGAGAAAGAUAGGUUGGGGCUUAAUUUAUGGAGAGGCUUGACUGCCAGGGUGAGUGAUUUGUACCUAACUCAGGAGAUUGUAGGAAGCCACUGAAGGAUUUUGAAUAGGAAAAGUACACGUGACACAGCUGUGUUUUAGGAAAAUUCCUCUAACAGCAGUAGGCAGAUUAGGUUGGAGUGGGAAGACAUUGAUGACCAGGACACCACACUGAAGUUUACUGCAGGAUUACGGGAGUGACAAAACAAAGGCCUGACUUAGGGCAGUGUGGCAGAAAUAGAGCAAGACUCAAGGACAGAUGCUCUCCUCACCACUGUUAUUGUAAAUAAUUUUGACCACUGACCACAUUCUUGACCUAUCUUAACUCAUGUCAUUCUCCCAGUAGGCUGCUACAUCAGAUUGCUUUCCCUUUGACAUCUCUUGCCCCUUCUUCAUCUCUACCAAUGUCUCCCCAUUGGCAGUUUUCCUGUUUGGGGAUCAGGGUCUCAGACCUCUUCUUUGAAUGUAUAGGAAUCACAGGCUAAGGAAACUCAGGAUUGAGGAAUCAUGAUCACUCUCAGAACUGUUUAUUCUCUCCAUUCUGAAGCUGAUGAAACAGAGGCCUGGAGAGGAUGAGUAACUUGUAUCUAGGAAGUGAUGGUGCUUGGAUCAGAGGUGGGAAAUCUUUCCCCCACCUGUUAACGUCGUGUUCCCAUUCUCCUGCUUCCUGGGUCAGGCUGGAGGCCCUGCAGCUGUCGGGAGUGCCAGAUGGCAUCUCAGUCACCAGGCUGGAGGGUGCCUGAGGACCCUGCGGUCAGCCCCAGCUGGCAGCACCACCUCCCAACUGGCACUGUGGACACCAGUGUUCAGAGGGGCUGAGUGAAGGAAGCACGUGUAGCAGAGGGGCAAGAAUGCAGGUGACUCAUGCCCUUUGCAGUGUGACUUACAGCUGUCCAUGGGGCAUCCCAGCCUACGUGAGGCAGUUGCCAUCUUUGCUGUCAGAGAGUCACUCUUGACCCAGGCAGUAACUGACGUCAAGAGCAGAGGAGACAGAGUUUGGUUGUAAAACGGACCAACUGUGCAGAAGAAGCAGUACCCAGCUAUGAGCGAGGAAACCUCGGCUCCACUCACAGAUUUGCUCUUGCCCUUUACAACUGUGUGACCUUAGGUAAGAUGUCACCUGACCUGAAUAAGCCUCACUCUUCUAGUCUGUUCACGGGUACAAUAAUCUUUGCCCUCACUAUCUUGGAGAUGUGAAGAGUGAUCUGUAGGCUAGAGCUUGAAGGAAAAAAACAAAGCCUUCUGCAAACCUAGAGAGUUCCAAACGUGUCAUUACUAUUAUCAUGAUUCAUGCGAAUACUAAUAUCAUUAAACAUUCAUUCCAAAAGGAAA